GAUAAACGCUGGCGGCGUGCCUAAUGCAUGCAAGUCGAACGGUCUAGCAUCUUCGGAAGCUAGGUAGUGGCAAACGGGUGAGUAACACGUGGGGAUCUGCCCAGUAGUGGGGAACAACUCCUCGAAAGAGGAGCUAAUACCGCAUACGGUCGAAGGACUAAAGCCAUCGCAAGAUGGCGCUAUUGGAGGAACCUGCGGCUGAUUAGCUAGUUGGUGGGGUAAAGCCACCAAGGCGAUGAUCAGUAGCUGGUCUGAGAGGAUGGACAGCCACACUGGGACUGAGAUACGGCCCAGACUCCUACGGGAGGCAGCAGCAAGGAAUUUUCGUCAAUGGGGGAAACCCUGAACGAGCAACGCCGCGUGGGCGAAGAAGUCCUCGG
rnacentral:rRNA from 1 species